rnacentral:snoRNA from 1 species
ACCCUCUGGAUCCCCUUCAGCCUCAGCUCUAAAUAUUGGUUCGAGUGGCUAAAAAAGGAAGCAAAGUGAAACUGAAGUGAACUUGAGUCUUUAAUGGCAUACAAGUUCAUUCCAAACAUUA